rnacentral:rRNA from 1 species
AGGACGCUUCCUCGGGAAGCGAGCGUACACAGGUGCUGCAUGGCUGUCGUCAGCUCGUGUCGUGAGAUGUUGGGUUAAGUCCCCGCAACGAGCGCAACCCUUGUGUUUAGUUGCAAACAGGUCCAAGCUGUGCACUCUAGACAGACUGGCCGUGGACAACACGGAGGAAGGUGGGGAUGGACGUCAGGUCAUCAUGGCCCUUAUGUCCAGGGCGACACACGUGCUACAAUGGCCGGCACAACGGGAAGCGAGUUCGCGAGGACGAGCGGAUCCCUCAAACGCCGGUACGCAGUUCGGAUUGAAGUCUGCAACUCGACUUCAUGAAGCUGGAAUCGCUAGUAAUCGUGGAUCAGCCAAGCCGCGGUGAAUACGUUCCCGGGCCUU